UACGUAGGGUGCGAGCGUUAAUCGGAAUUACUGGGCGUAAAGCGUGCGCAGGCGGUUUUGUAAGCCAGAUGUGAAAUCCCCGGGCUUAACCUGGGAAUGGCAUUUGGGACUGCAAGGCUUGAGUGCGGCAGAGGAGACUGGAAUUCCUGGUGUAGCAGUGAAAUGCGUAGAUAUCAGGAGGAACACCGAUGGCGAAGGCAGGUCUCUGGGCUGACACUGACGCUCAUACACGAAAGCAUGGGGAGCAAACAGG
rnacentral:rRNA from 1 species